rnacentral:piRNA from 1 species
UCACUAUAUAGACCAGGAUCUCUCCAACUC